rnacentral:rRNA from 1 species
UGGGGAAUAUUGCACAAUGGGCGCAAGCCUGAUGCAGCCAUGCCGCGUGUGUGAAGAAGGCCUUCGGGUUGUAAAGUACUUUCAGUCGGGAGGAAGGUGUCAAGGUUAAUAACCUUGGCAAUUGACGUUACCGACAGAAGAAGCACCGGCUAACUCCGUGCCAGCAGCCGCGGUAAUACGGAGGGUGCAAGCGUUAAUCGGAAUUACUGGGCGUAAAGCGCACGCAGGCGGUUGAUUGAGUCAGAUGUGAAAUCCCCGGGCUUAACCCGGGAAUUGCAUCUGAUACUGGUCAGCUAGAGUCUUGUAGAGGGGGGUAGAAUUCCAUGUGUAGCGGUGAAAUGCGUAGAGAUGUGGAGGAAUACCGGUGGCGAAGGCGGCCCCCUGGACAAAGCCUGACGCUCAGGUGCGAAAGCGUGGGGAGCAAACAGG